rnacentral:SRP_RNA from 1 species
CUAUGUUAAAUCGGGAGAUUAGUGGUCUCUUGUAACCCUAAACCCACUAUAGAGGGGAUGAAAACUUGAGCUGAGGGAUUAACAGGAUUGGAUUGACUUUGGUAAGUGGUGUUGACGGUGCGGUCCUGCGCAAUCGGAACCUGUGAACCAUGUCAGGGCAGGAAUGCAGCAGCAUUAAGCAGUUCUUUUCGAUGUGUUGCAGGGGUGCCGUGCCUGAGCUAACUGCCAGAGUAACAACGAUUUUGUUUAUUUCAAACUCAAGCACAUAG